rnacentral:misc_RNA from 1 species
GAUGAAGAACGUAGCGAACUGCGAUAAGUAAUGUGAAUUGCAGAAUUCAGUGAAUCAUCGAGUCUUUGAACGCACAUUGCGCCCCCUGGCAUUCCGGGGGGCAUGCCUGUCCGAGCGUCAUUGCUGCCCUUCAAGCCCGGCUUGUGUGUUGGGUCGUCGUCCCCCCCGGGGGACGGGCCCGAAAGGCAGCGGCGGCACCGCGUCCGGUCCUCGAGAGUAUGGGGCUUUGUCACCCGCUUGAUUAGGGCCGGCCGGGCGCCAGCCGGCGUCUCCAACCUUCUAUUUUACCAGGUUGACCUCGGAUCAGGUAGGGAUACCCGCUGAACUUAAGCAUAUCAAUAAGCGGAGGA